GUCUAUGGCCAUACCACCCUGCGUGUGCCUGAUCUCAUCUGAUCUCAGAAGCUAAGCAGGGUUGGGCCUGGUUAGCACUUGGAUGGGAGACAACCUGGGAAUGCUGAGUACUGCAGGCU
rnacentral:rRNA from 1 species